AGCAGCCGCGGUAAUUCCAGCUCCAAUAGCGUAUAUUAAAGUUGUUGCAGUUAAAAAGCUCGUAGUUGAAUUUCGGGAUCAAUAUAUCGGUCGUGCCAUUGGUACGUACUGGUAUCAUUGGUUUCUCCUUUCUGACGAACCAUGAUGUCAUUAAUUUGGUGUUAUGGGAAGUUAGGACUGUUACUUUGAAAAAAUUAGAGUGUUUAAAGCAGGCUUUAGCUUGAAUACAUUAGCAUGGAAUAAUGAAAUAGGACGUUCGAACCUAUUUUGUUGGUUUCUAGGAUCAACGUAAUGAUUAAUAGGGAUAGUUGGGGGGCAUUAGUAUUCAAUUGUCAGAGGUGAAAUUCUUGGAUUUAUUGAAGACUAACUACUGCGAAAGCAUUUGCCAAGGAUGUUUUCAUUAAUCAAGAACGAAAGUUAGGGGAUCGAAGACGAUCAGAUACCGUCGUAGUCUUAACCAUAAACUAUGCCGACUAGGGAUCGGAUGAUGUUAAUUUUUUUAAUGACUCAUUCGGCGCCU
rnacentral:rRNA from 1 species